rnacentral:rRNA from 1 species
AUUGAACGCUGGCGGCGUGCCUAAUACAUGCAAGUCGAACGGAGUGGCGCACGGGUGAGUAAUGUAUAGCUAAUCUGCCCUACACUAGAGGACAACAGUUGGAAGCGGCUGCUAAUACUCUAUAGUGUAGGAUGAGGCUAUAUUGUAUCAGCUAGUUGGUGAGGGAAUGGCUCACUAAGGCUAUGACGCAUAACUGGUCUGAGAGGAUGAUCAGUCACACUGGAACGGAGACAGCGGCCAGAAUCCUUCGGGAGUCAGCAGUAGGGAAUAUCGCCCAAUGGGCGAAACACGGAAGCAGCAUCGCAGCGUGGAGGAUGACACUUUUCGGAGAGUAAACUCCUUUUGUUAGGGAAGCGGUACCUAACGAAUAAGCACCGGCUAACUCCGUGCCAGCAGCCGCGGUAAUAC